rnacentral:tRNA from 1 species
CAAAAAGUAGCUUAAUAAAGCACUCAGCUUACAAUUGAACAAUGUUAGCGAAACCCUAACCUUUUUGA